AUCUGGAGCUGAACAUCUGGAGUUGGGUGAACCUGGCGUCUGCCCAUGGUGGGGCUGGCAGCUCUCUGUGGGGACAUGGAGCAGUGCUAAGCAACUCUCAGAUCUGGCUUCACCAGCACAGGAAUGCAAUUGGUUGACCCUAGGCCAGCCUGAGACCAGGGAUGCUAUGUGUUCUCCCAUUUUAUUUAUCUGAAACCACCUUUUUGAUGAAAUGGAGAUGGGUGAAGGGGGGAGAGUUUUGCGAGAGGAAAAAAACACUAUCAAGCAAAAAAAAAAAAAAAAAAAAACCAUCAAAAUAUUUGAGGUUUUCAGAAACAUCCCUCUCCAUCCCCAAGCUCAUCCGAUAAUGAAUGUGUCAUGCUUAAUGAGGGCCUUCCACCGGGAAGGAUUCUCAGCAGCUCCUUUCGCAGCCUCCCGCUCCCAUCCAGCCGGACGUGCUGCUGUGCCAGGGACCCGCGGCGUGCCAGCCCCGCGCAGCAGCGCUCAGUCCCGGCCCAUUACCUUGAGGAGCUCCAGAGCAGCGUGUGUGCCUCUGGUGACGUGACGAGCCCUUCACCGGGGGAUGCAGCAACAGCCGCCACCAAAUCCGGCUGCAGAGGCUCCUGCUUGUGGGUGGGGAGGAUCUACCUGGGGGUGGAGACAUCUGCCUCCUGCUCGACGCACAGGUGCCUGCCUGCAGCCUUUUCAACCAUCAGCAUCCAUGCGUGGGGGCUGGAUCUUUGGAGAAUUCAGUUUAACCCGUGGAAAUAACACUUCUAAUCUGGAUUUACAGAGGCUGCCUUGAUUUGUGAGCUGCCUCCCACCCCAUGCAACCAGCCUGCACCUGGAUUUCUAGCAAAUGUCACCGGAGCAAAGCUGUCCCCUCAGUCCACAAGAGCAGCCCAGAGUUUUGUCCCCAGCUCUGCCCACAGCCCUUCCAAGACCUUUCCUCUGGCUGCCUCUGUCUUCUUACAGGUGGGAGAAGCAGGGGGCAAAGAGCAGAAGUUGGCUGGGAAUGGGGAUGGCAGCAGUUUCUGGUCCUCCUCCGGAAACCCUCAGGCCCAAGAACUUGCCAGCUUGCAUAGGAAGCAGAGAUGGGAGGCAGGAGAGGGGCAGGCAGAGUCCGUGCAUCUGGAUGGCUGUGCAACGGACACACUGUGGACAACUGGAGGCUGAUUCUGGCCUCAGCUACAUAUGCAGGGAUGGUGUGAGAAGCAGGGAGCUGGGAGAGCCCUGCACUUGGCCAGCCCCAAACCAGGGGCAGCAGCAGGCGGAGACUGGGGUGCCACGGACGCCUUCCCAGCAAUGAAAAUGCUUCCAGCUCUCUGCUGUGAUGCUUCCCGCAAGGCAAGAGCAAGAAACCCACCCUGGCUGUAACGAGUCUCUAAACUCAUUAGCUACUGGGCAAUGAGUGAUGCGUUGCACGGGGUGGGUGGUGACUUGUGUUGGUGCAGAGGCAGACAACGUGGCACCUUGGUGAUGGGAGGGCUGGGGACUGCAUGAGGGACACCACGCAGCCCAGGGGAAGCACCACCCACCCCAGGCAACACCCCGGUGCUUCGGGGCUCGAACUGAUCACCCCAGGGACUGGGAAGGAACCUGUCUCCAUCUGCCUCCUGUCUGCUGUGAGGAGCAACAGGCGAGUGAGGAGGGGAGGGCUCAGCAGUGAUGUUUGUUGGAGAGAAGCAUCAUUCCCCUGUCUGGACCACAUAAAUGAGCACGUGUUUUUCACUAUGGGGGAAUACAUGCAGGGACAGAGAAAAAAAUGUUUCAAAAAAGAAUGAAGGAAAAGGGGGAGGGGGGAAAUGAAUCGAUAUAACAGAAGCAUUAGGGCACUCAGGGGAGUGUUUUACUGGGGCCAUUAAUAUACUUCUCAGGUGGUAAAAGCCACUUAGCCUUUAAAAAUGAUAAUGAAAUGUUAACUACCCAAAGCAUUAUUGCUGAGUCACGGAGAGCAGGCAGCCCUCCGGCUCCCACCUGACCCUGGGGUGCUGCGAUGGUCCCGUGUGCCCCACCUCCUUCAGUGGGACCCCAUAACCUCAUUGCCCCCAGCCCACGCAGUGUGUGCCACGUGCCAGAUCGCCAGAUCUGCCACCACGCAUGGGAAUGCUCUGCCAUGGGGAGCAGGAAGGACCCUGAACCUGAAGUGCUGAGUCAGCGCAGGGACGUGGUGUGCCAGAUGUCAGGAAUGUUGGCUCCCAGGAGAUGGGGACAGAUGAGAGUGGAGGCCUCACGCACUUCCAGUCUGCACUGCACAAAACAUUGGUGGCUGCUGGUACCUGGUCCUUAAUGCCCUAUUAACACCCUAAAACACCAGGGCAGCAUUAUGCCCUGCUGUGCACCCUCAGCCUGACCGCCAUGCUGAGCUUUGGGGGUACUGGGACCCUCUGGAGGCCAACCAGCUCUGAGAACCAUGGGGGCCAAAUUCAGGCUGCGUUCUUGUCAAGGAGGGCUUAUGCGCAAGGGAGCAGGGAUUCUCAUUUCUCAUCUUUUAUGUAUCACUGACUUUUAUUUGAUUGUGAAGGGCCCAAACAGCCCCCUGCAGUGUCACACAAGGAAAUCCAACAGGUCUGCAUGGUCCAGCGAGCCCAAGUGUGAGAUGAAGGACUUCUCCUAGGACGAGUCAGUGCCCAAGCAGAAAAUUAAUUUCAUUCCAUCCAUCUGUAUAUGACCCCAAACUCAUCCCCAGUCAGGAAGAUUAUGGAGCUUUUCCACGGGUGUGGAUUCAAAGUCAGAGGUAGCUGUGCUGGUGGGGGGACAGGGAGCACUUGGCUCCUGGCAGCACCAUUGCUGAUCCCCUGUGCCCAUUUCAGGCGCCGCUGAGAGACUCUUUUCUGGGAAAUCUUUUCUCUUGGUUGAGUUUUCAGCUCUGUGAGGGAGCGCCUGUGCAGCCCCCGAAGCAUGCAGGUGGACUUCUUUACCUCCAAGCCCCACGUAUGUAGCUCUGAAAGUAAUGCCUCUUUAUUUCCAUGGAAACUACAAACAGGUACAAAGAGCACAAUGACACUAUUUGAUGGAGCAAAUUCUCAGCUACAGAACACUGUUUUUCAACACAGACACCACCAUAGCUAUGCGCUUUUGCCGGCAAUAAACAAGAGCCUGCACGUCACAUUCUGUACGUAGGCUCCACACCCACUGUCACUGCCGCUGAAAUGCACCACCCGCCGCCUCACCGCGCUCACAUCCACUGUUGUCUCCAUCAGUGUUCACAACCAUUGAUGAAUGUCAGUGGGUGCCACUUUUUCCUCACGGAGGAAUUCAAUUCCACACCUUUGCUUUAUACGUAUUCCCACGUCAGACGCCAUUCUGUCAGACCGCCCCUCUGCUGCCGUCUGUCACACGGCAACAAAACGUAACAGGAUAUUGGUGGAAGGUCCAACCUCUACUGCCAUCCCACCAACAUCUUCCUCUGCCUGUGCGGGCCGGCAUCGCAAAACAGGAGGCAUUACUUUUGGAGCAGCCCCCACAGAAGUCAGCACGGCAGCAGGAGCCGUGCAGGCGGUGCAGAGCUGGAGCUCCCUUCUCCUUGCCCUGCCUCACCUCUGCGCUUCGCCCCCCGCUCCCUCUGGGACGCAGCCGCACGGUGCUGUGACCGGCCCCGCUGGGUUCCCCGCGCUGCGGCCGGCCUGCAGGUACAGCACAAGGGCAAAGGAAGGACGUUUCCUUCCGGAGCGCCACUCUGGAAAUUAAUGGACGCAGAGGGCUUUCUGCCUGCCGAGGGAAGCGGUUCUCGAGCCGCGGGUCACGGCGCGCCUGGAGCCGGCUGGAGCUGCUAACUGGGUCACGCGGCGCUGCGGGCCGGUGACGCGCGGCGCGGGCCAGCCCUGCUCCCAGCACGGCCCCAGAGCAGCGCUCACCCAGCGGCACCGGCGGCCCCGUAUUAAGAGCCACGCAGCCGCCUCCGCCGCCGCGCUUUAUCCCCAGCGCCCGCUGUGAACAAAAUUGCCUCGGAUCAGGUGGUGCGAGCCAAUUUUUCUCGCAGCAGGGGCUGCAGGUAAAGCACCUCGGUGCAGGAGAGCUGCGCGGCUCUGAACUUCUCUGCUGCCCGUCUGAACCCGGGGAAGGAGGAGAAGGGAUACUGUGUGCGCUCGAGCAGAAGCGGAGAAGAUGCCAAGAGAGGAGAGAAGCAGAUGGAAAAGGCAGAGAAAGCUCAAGAUGAGGAGAGAGCAGGAAGGAAGGAGAAGAGGAAGGAUAAAGCAAGAGGGAGGUGAGAAAAGAGCUGGAGCUGGGAUGCCACAAAGCAGUGGCCAAGGCAGCGAGAGAACUGCAUCUUCUCUUUCUUGUCCUACAAACCAGACACAGACGUGGCAGCAGCUAAUCUUCCUGGCUCGUGAACAAAAGGAUUCUUUUCAUGCCAGUAAUCCAAGAGCUGCCAUGCCACGACUCUCCCAGCUCAUCUGCUGUGAAUGCACUUAUGUGGCGUCCAACUGAACGGGUUAGCAAAAUAAAGACAGAUGGCGAUGGAUUAGCUCUAACACUUCUUCAGUAUCACAAUGCAAUCAUUGCGGUCUUCUCCGCUGCCUCCUCUCGGGACACUCUGCUGCACUGCAGCUGUGCAGCCGCCCCCAGGUAUCCACCAGCCCCAGAGCUGCAACUUAGCACCAUGCAAGCGGGAAAGAUCUGCCCCCAUUAUUUGUUUGUGUCUAGGAAAAUGGUAUGGAGAUGUCACAGUGAUGGUGAGCCCGCAGCCACCUCUCUGAUGCAAUGGGAUUUCUUUGUCACAGAACACACUUUGUCACACAUCUCCAGCUGAUUAAGGGUAGACUCUAAGGCCCAUGCUGGUGAAGGAGAUGCAUUGCUGAGCAGCAUUUUUACCGUCUAGCCCUGCCAGCUCCAAGGAGUCCACGUGUCCAGCUCCGUGUGUCACAUGGUCCAUUAAAUAUCAAGGCAGAUAUAUGGAGAAACAACGAUGGAAUGCUGACACCACAUCUUCAUAAGCAAGCAAGGAGAAUGGUCUCUUCUCCAUGACCAAAUAUACCUCAACUGAGUGAAUGCAGCUGUGGAAGUAGAGCUUCCAGCCAAACCAGUGCCAGCUGAUGUGCACAGAGGCAGUGUGCUGGUGACAGACUGGUCUUUGUUUUAGCCGAGACUUUUUCACAUUUUUUCCCAGCUGGAAACGGUGUGGGAAUUCUAGCAUCAAGUCUCAUUAAGAGUUGGUUGUUGCUAGUAAACAUCCUUUGCAACUGCAUCGUCUGCUUGUGCCAAACUGACUCCAGCCCACCAUCCAGGUGCAGCCCACCUAACAGCGUUAGCGGGCUGUUAGUGCCGGAGCUGCUGGUAGCUGCAGGAAUACUGAGGUUCUUCGGGAUGACAACAUUUCUGUCCUGCUGAAGCAGUCUCCCAGUCUCAUUUAGGAAGUUAGUGGGACAUUUUCACCUCUGACCCUAUUAUUUUGUAAACUGUCUCUUCUGACCCCUCCCUCACCCACGAUCACCACAAGAUCAAGCAGCCCCAUUUUCUCAAGAGGAUGCCUUUCCCUGUGGCCAUGUUUAGUAAACAAGAGCUGAUGACACUCAGAAAUGGCCAGGAAACAUCAGGCUAUCCCUAACAAAAACAAGACAUGGUCAGCGUUUUUGGCAAGGAGAUAGCUUGCCUCUGCGUUGGCUUUACCAUUGGAGGGGCACCCAAACUGCCUAGUCAUUGGUAUCUUUAGGGAUGUCCCUUGCUAGUUUUCAUGCAUAUUUCAUCAAGGAGUGUUCCUGAUCAUUCUGCUUAUGCCUGAAAAUGUAGGAUUCAUUCAGAUAUGGGAAGCCCAGUCUGCCUUCGAUCUGUUCCAACGGGCAUUUACAUCAGCAUCUGUCCAGGCGCUGCAAAACCACUCACUGCUGAGAUAGAUGCACUCUGCCAUGUCAUCGGGGCUGAAUCCUUGCAACAUUCAGUGCCCCAAAAUGAGCUUAGGCUGUGCAUAUCGAGCUCCUUUAGGUCUGCACAGUAACAGUAGUAUUUUAAGGUCAGCUGUAGGAAACACAGUUGUUGUCAAAUAUGCCCUAGAACAACAGCACUGACAUCUAUAAGACAGGUGGUUUUAGGCAAAAAACAACCCUGAUGCAUUUUGCUGUAAUAAAGGCUAUCUUGCCCCUGAAUUGAUAAGAACUGUAGAGAAAUUGUUCAAGAAACUGAUCCACUCAUUUAGUUUGGCUGUCCUCUGGCAGGAAGAGGCUGACCAGGGAUACCGCUCCCGCUUCUGCAGUCUGCAUAUUAGAUAAAAAAUAUUAUAAGACAUUUACUGAGAUCUCCAGUUGGUAAUGAUGCUUCAGUGAAAUUUGAAACAUCUAACUUAUGUAUAGUUGACUGCAACAGAGGAAUAGGGGCAGCUGAGGAAGGACAGGCCGGGAAGAUGAGGAGGAGAUGUUACUCUGUAUGUGAGAAAGCUGUUGGAGCACAUGGAGCUCUGCCUGGGGGUGGAUGAGGAGCUGACAGAGCUUCUGGGAAAGAAUUAAAAAGUAGACCAGUACAGGCAGUGUUGUAGCACGUGUCAGCUACAGGCUACCAGACCUGGAGGAACAACAGAGUGAGGCCCUCUGCAGACAGCUAGAAGCUGCCUCACACAUUCAUGCCCCAUACCUGCAUGGGGGGACAACACUGCAGGACAUAAGCAAUGCAGGAGGUUCCUGGAGAAUGCUGAUGACACCCUUUUACUCCAAGUGGUAGAGGAGCCAAUGAUGAGAGGAGCUCUGAUGGACUUCACACUCAACAAGAAGAAGGGACUUGCUGGGUAUCCAGGGGUCCAACGCAGCUUCGGGAAUCCCAGACUCCAGAGACCGCAAGGAAAGGCUGAAGCAAGGAAAUCUGACCCUGGGUGGAAGAAGAUCGGGUCAGGGAACACUCAGUCAAACUGGACAUGGGCCUUGGUGGAGUGUAUAUACUAGUGCUGAGGGAGCUGGCAGAUACCAUUGUGAGGCCACUCUCAAUAAUCUUUUGUGGAUCAUGAUGAAUAUGAGAAGAGCCCAAUGAAUGGAGGAAAGCAGAUGUGUAGCUCCAAGAAGUGCAAGAAGGAGGACCUGGGGAACUCCAGACUGGUCAGCCUCAACUCAGUAUGUUGGAAGGUAAUGGAGUAACUCAUCCUGGAAAUUAUCUCCAAGCACAAGAAGGACAAAGAAAUCAUCAUCAGCAGUCAGCACGGCAUUGCCAAGGGAAAGGCGGGGGAGUAAUGCUUAGCCAACCUGAUACACUUCUGUGCUGAAAGGACUGGCUUGUCAGAUGAGGGGUGAGCAGCAGACAUUGCACACCUGGAUUUACGUAAGGCCUUUGACUGACACUGUCUCCCACAGGAUCUUCAUAGAGAAGGUGUUGACACAUGGGGCUGGAUGAGUACACAGUGGGGUGUGCUGGGAAGUGGCUAAUGGCUGGGCCAAGAGUGUGGAGAUCAGUGGCUACUGAAGCUUAGUUGGCAGCCAUUAACUGGCAGUGUGGCCCAGUGGCCAGUCCUGGCUCCAAUCCUAUUUAACUUUUCCAUUACUAAUCUGGAUAAUGGAGCAGAGUGUACCCUCCGCAGUCUGAAGAUGACACUAAGCUGUGUGGUGUGGUUGACAUGCCUGAGGGAUGGGAUGCCAUCCAGACACCUAGACAGGCUGAGCAGUGGCUGAGCAUCCCAAAAAGCAAGCUGUAUCCUGGCUACAGCAAAGGAGUUGUAGCUAGCAGGCUGAGGGAGGUGAUACCUCCCCUCACAGACUCGUGAUUCCCCACCUCAUUGCUGUGUUCAGCUCUGGGACCCCAACAUAAGAAGGAUGCAGAGCUGUUGGAGAGGAGGCCACAUAGUUGGUCAGAGGGCUGGAGCACCUCUCCUGUGAGAAAGAGUUGGGCUGUUCAGCCUGGAGAUGGCUCCAGGGAGGCCUUGCAGCAGCCUUCCUGUACCUGAAGGGGCUGACAGGAAUGAUGGCAAGGGACCCAUUUGUCAGAGACAGUAGUUGAGAGAACAAGGGGUAGCUGCUGUAUACUAAAAGAGGACAGAUUUAGAUUAGAUGUCAGGAAGAAAUUCUUUACUAUAAGGGUGAUGAUGCACUGGAACAGGUUGCCAGAGAAACUGUGGAUGCCACAUCCAAGGAAGUAUGAGGUGGAUGGGAGCCCCUCUAGGUAAGGCAAGGGAUCCCUGAGAUGAGCUCUGACGAUAUCCUGCUGCUCACAGGUCUCAGGUAUAUUCUAAGAUGGGAGAAAAUCGAGGCUGGUAGGAGCCUUGAUGGACUUGCACAUUUCUGACAGAUGGAGCCGUUCUGCAGGGACGACUGCUUCCAGGAGGGCUGUCUGCAGCCCUCCUCCUCCUGCUGCCCUCUGGGAAAGGCACGGGAGAGCAGAGGCGAAGUCAUGGAGCUGGCGGUGCCAUGCUGGUGAGGAGUUCUGCCCUCAAACCAGUGCCCAGUCCAUUUGUCAUAGAGGGACAGUGCAGGCUUAGAUCUUUAAACACUGUACAUCUUAUCCAUACUGAUAUUUUUCCCUCAAGCAACCUGAAAUCAUUACUAGACACUGUACAGACCAGCCAAGAGGGGGACAAAUGCUUCAGCCUCCAGGACAGCACCGGGGAGGUUUGUCCUGAGUAGGGCCAGAACACACACUGGAUAUGCUGGGAAAACAAAAUAUUAAAUAACCUUCCACUGAUCUUAUUUAGCACUGAACCAGGCAUGUUUCCUCUCAAAGCGGGAGACUUGCUCUGGUUGGCACUCAGAGAUCAGCCAAAGUCAGGCUGAGUGGGCAGCUGGAAUUUUGACAUUUUUGUCUUUAGGGAGCUUGAGAUUUGCAGCCUCCCCUGCAUAUUUUCUUCUUCUUGUGCAAGGUAGAAUUGGACAGGUAACCAAACAGCAGGCACUGAAUGACAGCCUGACAGCAUUCUCUGAGCUCCUUUGGAAUGCCGACAACAGGCAGGUGACUAUCAUGUGCAGAGAGGGUCUUGCUGCUGCAGGGUGUGACUGCACUCAUAGCUCCUGGCACAGCUCCCCUGAGCAGAGCACGUCGCUUUCAGGGAUGCAGUGUGACUGCGUGGGAAGCAGAACUGCCCCUUUUGCAUCCCCACCAGCUCAGAGGCUGCUUUCACCCUCUGUGACCCACCUCUCUCCUCACAGCAUCACCUCUUCCCACAUAACUCCCACCCGACUUUUCUGCACUGCUGCACCUGCUGCUGAGUCCUCCCAGGGCUCCGAGCCUGGUGCAGUGGGAAGUGGUGUGCCAGCUCACUGUUGGCUUGCCCUGUUCUGCAGAGACACUGCAGCUUGCUUUCCACGCAGCUGAAACAAAAGGCAGUGGCAGUGGCUGCUGAUGCUGCAGAUGGUGAUGCAGCCCUGGUGCUGCUGGGUUGUCCCUAAAGACACACACCUGGUCCCUGUGAGAUAAAGCUGAGCUCCAUUCCCUUCCAUGGCCCCGGUGCUUUGGUCUGUACACAGCAUGGGAGAAGGUGGAGAUGGGGAAAAAAGGGAUUGCAUCUGAGACAGGCAAAAAUCUGGAGAGUUUCAGCCAUGGCAAAAACACGGCACUGCAGCCAGCAAAGCUCAGCUUCAUCACACCGCUCCUGAGCCAGCUCUGCAAUUUGCAUCUGGGUGAUUUCAUUCCCUAUCAGUGUUCAUUAGCAGCUGCCCAGCACUCAGCUGCCUGCUUGGGAAUAAUUAGGCCCUUUCUCUGAAGGUCGUGACAGAGCUAACAUCUCAGCCUCCCCUCCUUUGAACACCCAUAGAGCCAGAUACCGGGAGCAUCUAUUGGACAGCUCCUGAGAGAGGUCCUGGGAGCGCACAGGAGUGGGGCAGCAUGGACACCAGUCUGGUGCUGCUGUGAGUUAUUCCUACAGCAAACAACAGAGCUGCCCGACAGCUCUGCCCUCCCAGGCAGGCAGAUACCAGCUUGUGCUGGAGAGAGCAAAGAGCUGGAAGUGGCACACCUCCUUUGGUGCACAGACUGCUGGGCUCUUGAUGCCACACUGCGUGAUAUGGGAGGGCCUUCAUCACCAGCGCUUUCGUCCCAGAAAGAGCCACAUGAAGACAUCUCUGCAGGAGGUAAAAAUAGUAUUGUAUGUCUCCGAGGUGACUACCAAGACCUUUGAACCAAGCAGUGUCGAAAGGCUCAUAAAUCUGACCCAGGGGUUGCAUGUGGCCAUUGCUACUCACUUACCUGUAGUUGAAUGCCCUUGGUGAGAACUUAUCAGAAGCUCCAAAAAACUGGUAGCCCCAACAGUUACUGUGUUAAGCAGUCUUAUUUCAAAACAGUCUGUCAUCACAGGCUGCACUGAGCCUAGGGUGGCUGCUUUCAUCGGCAGUCCUGGCAUCACCUGGGCUGGACAGCUAAAAGCCAGUGUCUAACCAACAACUCUUCUCAUCACAUCUCAUCACCAUGUGGUAGAACCCCAUGGAAAUGGUACUCAGUGGCUGUGGGCGACUGCAGAUUUUCAAGGAGAGCACACACACCUCUGUAACCUGUGUUAAAAUAGUGCCUAGGCAUUGCACGAUUCCAUCUCCGUACCAGAUAGCCCACAGUUCAAACAGAUACGUGCAAGAGUGCAAUGGCCUGGAGCUGCUCUACAGUCACACGGAGGGUUUGUGCAGACCACAGCCAAGCCCAGGUUUGGCCUGACAUUGCAGGGGACAAGGGCACUCCCUGUCUCCACAGGGUUCAGCAGAGCACAGAUAGUAUCUCUGCAAAGCAGCAUCCAUCCCAUCGGACUGCCAUCUUCCUCUGCAAGCUGGGGAAGGGGUCUCAUCUCAUGCCAGCAGGGGCUCUCCUCUGAGCCAGUGUGCAUGAGAGCACAGGGCCAGCACUGCUGGCCUUUGUCCUUCAGGUCAGGAUGCUGUUCCCAUGGCAGAGCUCGUCUGUCUUGUCAGGAGUUCCCAGCAUAGACCAAGGCCAGCGUGUAGUCUUUGUAUAAAUAUAAUACAGCAAAACUUGGCUACACUGGAGCACCUUGCUUGUUAAAAAUUUAAAUAAAAGAAUAAAGUGUAACCCGGAGCCAUUUCAAACUCCCAGGCAGGCAGAUACCUGUUUUGCUCUACUGAAUCUGUGCAUAUUUAGACAGCGUUUGAUUAAAUAGACAAGAGCUACUCUAUCUAUUAAAAACUUUCAUGAAGAUGGAGCAUGCUUUUGGUAUCUCUGCAGAAUACUGCAUGCUCUGCUGAGACCGACACCAGCUGUGUUUUGUGUCUUGUGCAGCACCUAGGAAGGCUGGAAUACAGAUCCAACAGCUGCGCUCCCCUGUGCACAGUAGUGAGCAGCACUGUACAUCAGUGUAGCUGUGGGUCGCUGUGGGAUGACGUGAUGAUGAGAGACGUGGAUAGGAAAUGAGAGGAAAUAAGCAGUCACUGGGUGCUGGUGCAUGUCCACAGUGUGUCUCAGUCUUCUCCUUCUCACAGUCACACAGCUCAGGUAGCUCAGGCUCCCGGCACCCAGUAUGCUGCGUGCUGCCUUGAGAAGUUUGGGUGGGAACCAGUUUGGAUGAGAAAUGGAACAGGAAAAAUUCCCAUAGCUGGUGAGGGGAGGUUGGUACUCUGCUCCUGCUGAUAUAUCCCGCAGGCAGCUGGGGUAGCUUCAGCUCCAGAAGACCUGCAGUGCUUGCUUGUAAAUGCCUGGUGCUCCGUUAUGUGUCACAUGAAGCAUUCCAACCUGCGAGAGAACAGGCACCAACUUACACCCAGGAGUGAGUUCCCAGGUCAUGCUGGCAGCUGGAAAAUUGCUGUGAUAAGGGACCACUGACAAAGAGCAUGGAUAACAUGUGCGUUCACGCUGAUUUCUGGCUGAGCCUGUUGUAUUUGCAUGGAAAUGCUGAGGGUGGCUGUGUUCUUGCUGUAAUCUCACAGGCCAGCUUCUGAUUCUCAAGAUAGACUCACAAAGAAAGGGAAGGUGAGGCUCCCAGAACUGUGUUCUCUUCUGUAUACGCUCAGCUUACUUUAACUGCUCAGUGAUCCCAAAACUUUAUGCCAAGCCAUACACCUCACCUUGCUCAGUGCCCAGGUUCUGCCCACUGCCCUCAGCGCCCAUUCAUUUAUUGCUCUCAGGUCCUUCUUCGGUUUGAAAGCACAUGGGAGCAAUGACUUCCCUACCAUGUGUUCAGCAUUGGCUGUGAUCACAGCAGCACUGACGUACGUUGUUUUUACCUUCACUGAUGGAAGCAAUGCUCGCCAAACUCACUGCAGGUCUCUGAUUUUCAUGGGUGUACAAUCAGUAUUUUAAUACGUUUUCCUACCAGAAUGGUGGCCUGAUUCAACUGGAUGGGCGAACUGAAUUCUUCUCUCAGAGUUUCUGCCAUGAUGGCACAGAAACGGAAUAUUUUGUCAUAGUUGAAGAUACUUCUGUCCUCCUUAUAGUGGACUUUCUUUUAAAUUGGAGGCUUUCUCUAGAGCAUCCCAAAAAGAGUUCAUUACAUUAGCGCUCUGUUGAUUUAUUAUUUAUAAUGACAGUUUACAAAGCAGACUGUGAAGAGACGAGCCCUAGCUAGGUGACUGCACACUUCCACAGGCAGCUCAGCCCUCCUGAGCAACCUGCGAGCCUGAGCUCAGCAAAAAUUAGCUGCUGAUUAGAAGUGAUUUGCAAGGAGAUUUAAACAAAAUAAUCCAUCUGUGGUUGGAGGAGCGCCGCUGCGGCUGCUGCAGCUCGCCUGCAGUCUGAGCUUUGCUGGAGAUUUUUGUAAUGCUUCCUGCAGGCUGCUGCGCUCGCUGCUUUCCCAGGAUGGUGUCAGCAGGGCAAGAAGUGCUGCAGUCCCUCACUGCCCCUUCCCAGUCUUUUCUCUGGAGCAUCUCCCUGUCAGCCCACAGGCCUGCUCGCUGCUGUUACACACCACCAAACCCCGACUCCAUCCACACCGCCCUUCAGCCGACACUGGACUUGGGCACGAGCCUGGGGCAGCACUGCCCCUUUGCUCCCCUCCUGUAUUGGGGGGGUGUCUCUGCCAGGUCCAUUUUUUUGACAGUUUAGAACAGGGGGCCUGAUUAACCAAAGACUUACGUGUGCUUAACUUGAUUCCCAUCAUCCAGAGGGAUGUUUUAUCACUACCGGCAGCAGAAUUGGCGAGGUGAGUGCAGCGCAGUAUUGAGCAUCUCUCCCUUAGGCAUCAGUCACCGAACCGCCAGGUUACUGAGCCUGCAGGUAUUGGGAAGCAUCGACUGGUGCGAAGCCUGCGACGGGAGAAGAUUGAUUGCGGUGCUGCUGGAGCGGGGCUGGCGGGGCUCUGCCGCAGUGCCGCAGGCUGCGUGCUCCCGAUGGAGCUGCCAACAUUAGCUGCUUGGCUUGUGGUGUGGGUGCUUUGUCUGGAGGAAUCAGCCUGGGUUUGCACACGAGCUCUUUAGGAGCAGCUUUCUGUUGUCUUUGUUCUGUAUCUUUGCUGACCUCUGUUGCAAAGGGUCGCUCAACAAGAUGCACCCAGAUAGCUUCCUCUGGCUGUUAGGGAGGAAACACCCUUCCUAGCCCUGCAGACAAAGCCAAAGGUCUGGCAGGCUGUGGGGGCCCUGCUGGGCUUGAGCCCCCCUGGGUUUCCCAUGCCCAUCAUGGAGGCAGGAGGUCCUGGCCCCUCCUGAUGGGCUGUGCAAAGACAAGAGGCUCAUAAAGCUACAUCAGCCGCAAUAGAGGUAAAGCAAGAAGGUGGCUGCUGCUAAAUAACAACUCUGCUGGUUUGUGCUGAACUGAAGACCAAGAUUUAAGCAGUUCCCUUAGGUUCUUUCCCUCCCUCACAUGUUCACUGGGUCACACCUAGGAUGCAGCACCAGACCUCCUGGCCCUGUUGCAAAUUUGCUGGAUCUAUGGGCACAGCAGCCCUCUGCCAUCAGUGCCUCUUAGUCCUGUGCACUGCUGGUGCACCUUGUGAACUGCUUCCACGAAGCACUGUGCCCCGUGGAGCUGAAAGACGAGGUGGUCUGGUCUCAUUUAGUCAAACUGGCUGUUGGAACCCCAGGUGAUUCCUGACACAACAGGUAAAACCCAGCUCUCCCAGCAGUGCUUUUUCUUGAGCCCUGCUGAGUUUGGGUCGGCGGGCAUUUCUGAUCUGUUCCAUCUUGGGCAUGGAAGUCCUUGUCUCUGUCUUGAGCUAGAAGAAAACCUUUGCUGCCUUCAGAUUUCCCAGUUGAAAUUGCAGGAACAACACCUCCCUGCUUUUCACUUUUCUUAAAUGAAGGUCUAAGCAUGUUCAGUGGUGUGUAACUGCGACAUAAACCACUUGGAUGGGACGUCAAGGGCAGCUCUUUCUGCACAGGUAUCUGUGGCUUGGGGAGCUUGAGACAGAACAGGCACUCGGGGCUUUGUGUGUCAGACAGAUUCUCGUUCCCAAGCCAACGAUUCCUCUCUUACACUGAGCGCCUUCAUUUCACUUUCACAUGCCCCUGGGGAAGACACUGGGUUCCCCACUCCUGUGUGUCAGCUGUGCUGGGUCACACUGGGGUCAGUGCUCCCAACACACGUGGCACCAUCGCCAUCAUGCCGCUGUGUCGCUGAGACGUGGCACGUGGGCCACCCCCUGCUAGUGGCAGCGCUGGCACCUCCUGCAGUGGGAAGGACUCCUUUCUGCAGAGGAAUGCAGCCAUGGAAAGAGGCACUACCAGCUGAAGAAGCACAGCCUGGGAAUUUUUGCCUCCAGUUUUUGAGCCAUGAAUAGCUUGCAAGCAGAUCCCUGCUUUUUUUUGCACUGAUCUUUUCAGUCUCCCCUGCACCCUCCCUCCCAACCCCUUGUGUUUUCUCAUGUGCCAGAUCUCAUGUUUGCUGGCUCAUGGUCUGCUGUGUUGUAGGCUGAAGGCAGCGUCACCACUUAAAUCCCCUAGUGUCUGUAUCUAAGUCAGUUCUCAUGAGGCCAUGUCUGUUGGCCAUGCUGUGGUGUGCACAGGAGUACAGAGGAGCUGCACCUCCCAGUCAGCCUUGUCACUUCUGAGCAUAACCUGGAGCACCAAGCCAUGGGAAUCUUCCCAGCUCUUCCUGAAGAUAUUAUUUGUUUCAAUAAUUGGUACGUUUUAAUAGGAGGUCAGCUCCAAACUAUACAAACAACCCAACCACUGUGUUUUAUUUUUUAGCUUGUUCUUUUUUCCCCAAAUGUUAAGGAUGAGCGGUCCAUUAGAAUGGUAAGCAAUGACCAUUUUGCAUAGUAAGAACUGGAAGAAGAGAUUCAGUAACAAACUUUCACCUCUACUAUUUACGAUGAUGAUAAACUGUUUGAUCUGCCUGAGUCUCCAGCUCCACUUCUCCCCUCACCUUGUCCCAUCCUUCUCUGCUCCACUCCCUCUUGUCCCCCCAACCCUGCUGCUCAGUACAUGCCUGGCUAGGUACUUCCCACUGUCGUCCUCCUGGGGGUGUGACUUUGCUUGAUUACUCCAUCAUAUCUUUCCACGUACUGCAUGGUACUUAACAAGUAAGGCCUGGUCUCUAGGAACUACUGUAACAACCACAGUCUGUAAUAACCGUGAUGGCGGGGUAUGGUUAAUCAGGGAAUGGUAAAGAAAAGUAUCUGUAAUGAAGAAACCGAAUUUCUGACUUUACCGUGGAGAACAAACUCACAGGCAAUUUCAUGGAAAAGAAAUCCAUUGAGGAAUACUGAACACAGAUACUUUGCCUGUGGGUCAGGAAGCCUCACAAACUAUUGCAGGCUGAAGAAAAUAGUGAGAAGUGUAUGCCCAUGCUCAGACCUGUGCUAUGCAUUAAUCACAGCUGGAGGCAGGCUUCUGAGCAUGGUGGCACAAAGGUUCCACCAGUCAUGUCAUACCACAGCCACAAUCUGUUUCGCAGAACUUAGAUGCUGAAUGCAGACAGCAAGGGCUCCUACCCCGAUCCCAUGAGAUGUGGAGUGAAGCGCAGCCCUUGGUGUGCAUGCCAGCUCUCCACUCUGCUUGCACCCGCUGUGUCCCCUGGGAGCAACCUCUGUGCCUUUAGGGCAGAUAGAAGAAAUAUCUCCUAACCUGGACUACCCCUUUCUGCUCGAUCACAAUAAAAAUGCAUGGCCCAGUCUAGCGCUAAAGUGCCUCUCUACAACAGAGGCUUUUCCAGCACAUAAAACUCCUCUGUUAUCUUCAUGUAGCACCAAGCAGGGUAUUACACAAGGCAGGCUCAGCCUGCAAAAAGUCCCUGGGAUGGCUGAAGUCUUGCUCCCAGCAAAAGCAGAGUGGACUUCACAUCCACUUACCAUAGGAAUUCCAUCAUCUAGUUUUCAGCUACAGAUCUUGUUCCUAGCAAGAUCUCACUUAUUCUUUGCAAAUGGCUAAAACCCACAAACACAAUUUGAGUGAGAAGGUAUACAAUCAUAGAAUGGUUUGGGUUGGAAGGGACCCUUAAGAUCAUCUAGUUCCAACUCCCCUGCUAUAGGCAGAGGCACCUCCCUCUAGACCAGGUUGCUCAAAGCCCCAUCCAGCCUGGCCUUGAAUGCUUGUUGAAAAACAACUUAAUCCCCUAGCAGUAGAGACUGCUUUCAAAUCAUGUUUUUUUCAGGGGCAUCUGACACAAAGUGUUGAAGGUAGCUAACACAGAGAUGACGAGAAACCAAGGCAAGGAUUUCCUAGUGACUUCUCAGUUUAACUCCAUGUUGAGAGCACGGUUCUAUAGUCUACUCAGAAGCAGGGCUGGGAGAUGCUGACGAUCACCGCUUUUGCGUUCUGCAAGACUCACCUUCAGCAGGAGUAUUUGUAACACCUGGUGUUGCACGUGGACACCAGGCUGCAUCCAGAGGAGCACGAGGUGGAAGCUGAGCAGCAGUUCCACCCCUGUGGUGAGGCACAUGCAAGAUCAGCUCUUCCUCCACUGCUGACCUGGAGGUGGCAGAAUCUCCCGGCUCCCCUGAACAUGAUGCUGAUCCAGAAGCCAUUAAACCCCAGCCUCAUUGUUAUCUCUGCGUCUCACUCCAUCAAUAUUUUUUCAGUCUGUAUAAAAAACCCUACUAUGGUUUUUAGCACAAAAGGGGAAAGAAGAGAACCUUCUAUGUUCAGGACAUUUGGGACAUCACUAGAAUUUCAUCCAUCUGUGAUUGGCCCUCAGACCGUCAUACUCAAUUUAUUUCUCAGCCAAAGUUUUUCAGCCAUCUGCUCAAGUGGAACAGCUUCCAGCAUUUAUUCCCAAUAGUGCUCCUCUGAGGGAGCACAUGGAUUUUCUCCAGUACGACAGCAUCACUAUUUUCCAAAAAAACACUCAGUGCAACCCUGCAGUGACUGGCGGGGAGCCCUCCCUGCUCUGCACCCUGACCUUGAAUUUUAAGCAAUUGAUCAAGAAAACACAGAACUGUUUCUCUUCCACUUAGCACCACCAAACGUGACUGAUGUUUUUUAAAGGACUCCUCUGCAAAGAUGUUAAUGAGGUCGCCUUGGAUACUCAGCUUAAAAUGGUGUCGCUUCAGCUUCUUUUAUGUCAGCAGUCAACAAUAACAACAAAAAAUACACAACAACCCAUCAACGGAUCUGCUUGAGGAGGGGUGGGGGAUCCUGGCAGGCAACAGGAGCAGAUAGCAGCUCAGAGUCCACCUGCUGCCAGCAGCUCGGUGGCUGAGCCUCUCUGAUUGUCUAGUAGAGCAUCGACACAAUGAUCUCCAUAAUUAUUAUAUCCUCAAAUUGAAAAAAAAAAAAAAAAAGAGCCAUAAAUUAUAUGACAUAAAUGAUGCCUGAUUUUAACAGACAUUGUGUUGAAAAGGCCCCAGGAAAGGGCUUCAAACUGGAGAAGCAAGAGGUUCAGGGGCAGCCAGGGAAAUGAAAGUGUAUGAACAAGAAGGAACUGCCAAAGACAGAGGAGGAGGCCAUGUGUCCUUAGAGAACGGAUUUGCAGGGCCCUGAGGCUCACUUGGGUUACUGCUGCUUCAUGUACUGCCAGCCUACGGCAACUCAUGGAUACACGAUGGGAGGGGACUACAUCCAGUUCCAAAAAGCAGAGUGAAAUGCACUUGAAGCAGAAACACAGGUACUCAAUGCAGGUGUACUCAAUGCUUUAAUGAUCUGCUUAACACUGUGCUAGUCAUGUCUCCAAACUAAUUACUCAGCUUCUCUGGACCUCAAACUCCCCAGUUUUGAGCAAGGAUGGAUUCAGUGACAUCUCACAGGCUUCCUUGGAGCUUUGAAGACGUACAUGGAGACAUCAGUGGAAAGCUUUAAAAUGAAUCUGACACUUCUGACCUGCCCCACAACCAUGUGUCUCUCCUGCUGAGUCUCCUUACAAAUCAGCAUCUUCAAAAAGCCUAGAGUAGGAACACCCCUGUCAUCCAACACCUAUCUCUAAGCAGCAGUCAGGAGCAGAAGAGAUGAAAAUACCUUCUUGGGGCUCUCCAGCAGGAUCUCCAGUUCUGCAGGUGCACCUCUGGUGAGCAACUCCUGUGGGCAGAUGGAGCCUGCUCUGAUGGGUCAGGCACUGGGAACCUGCUUUGUGGGGACCACAGGUGUGCCCAGGUCCUGGAGUGUUUUGGGAGCCUGAUUCUGUGCCCACUCACCUCUCCAUUGCCCCAGUUCCCUUGUGCUGAGGAGUUUCUCCUCUUUGUGACCAGCUUCAGACAAAGCAGAAUCUGCCCUUGGUAUCUUUAUUUGAAACCUGAUCAGAAGUGCUCAGUUACCAACAGUCCCCUCCCCUCCCUUACUCUUCAGUGCACUCUAGAGCAUUGUAAUGGCUUAAGAUGAUGAAUACUAUGCAGACAACACACCCAGCUGUCCAAGCAGACAGUCAGCGGAGAAAUGAAGAUAUGCCUGCCUAAGUAAAAGUUUGAUUAAUUGCAUUAAUUAGGCCCUAAGGUAUGGUUCAUAAAAUAAGAGUACAACUGGUGUAUUGGAUUGGGGAAUUGACUAUGUGACAGGAAACAAACUGUGGUGUGAACAGGAACUCUUCUCUGUCUGGAAUGGCACGAUAAAUUAUCAAUUAAAUAACGGAGAUUGACAAAGCUGCAGUCUGUUAAAGGCAACCUCCCUGCCUCGGUUGCGGCCGGCUGGGGCAGGUGGCUCGGAGGUGUGAUGGCCCCUCCAGCAUGGCCACGCAAGCUCACCCUGCUGUGGUUCUGCUGGGCUCUCAAUCCCAUCUGUACAGCACGGGGUGAGGAUAAGGGGACUGCCCAGUCAAGAGCUCUGCAGUCCAGGGGCCACUGGGCUCCUGCAGGAGCUAUGCCAGAGCACUUUGCAUUCAUGUGGCUGCUGCUCUCCUCCUGCCGUGGCAGCAGGACCUCCUUCCACUGGGCAGAGUGGAGAAGAGGCAUUAAUUCCUCCCAGGGUGCUGCUCAUGCCUUGUCCUUGGGCCACAGCCUUCUGCCUCGGUGCGUGCCUGUCCCUCGCUGCAGCUCCACAAAGGACUUGCCUGCAGCUGGGAGCGGAUGGUCUGUGUUUGAGGUGAGCACUACAGCAUCCACCUUCCACUUACCACCUGAGUGAUUAGAGCUGCUGACGCUCCGGUCUGGACUCGCUCUCACCCAUCUGUCAAACAUCGCUUUCUCUCCUGUCUCAGGCGGCUGCUGACGUGCGUGUGCUGCAGCCGCAGCUGUGCAGGAGGAGGCUCUCCAGAUUCCUCGUUACCGGUUGUUAUUAAUGAUUGUGCAUUUCCAUAAAGCCAAUAGCAGGCUGGGACAGAUGCACACCCUGCCCUGGAAAGCUUAUGAAAGAUGCUGUCUCCCCAGUGGCACUGCUUCACAGUUUCUUCUGGAAGAAGGUUCCUUCAGGAUCAUUUCCACCUGCUCUCACUCUCACAACAUUUUCUCACAUUCUGCAUUAUUUUCUGUUCCAAGAUUUGUUCCAUUAAUAUUUUUAGUACCUCAUACAGGCCUCAGCUGAGAUCUAGGCCGCACCACUUGUCCCAGUGCAGUUGGCACAUACGAUAUGGGGAACCCCAGAGGAACGUCAGUGCUGACGGCAGUGGCACAGGAGGAGAGAGCUGCAUGGCUCAGCUCCCUUGCCUUGUAAAUACAGCAGGGUCUGAAGACAGGGUGAGAGCGGCAACCGAGCAGAGAAAUAAUCUCACAGUUCUGUGCUGAACGGCUGAGUCAAGAAGAUGCUCCAGAGCUCCUGGUUGUCUUUUCUCCAUUGUGGGUGUCCAGUUGACCUAAGACAUUGCCCAAACAUUUCUCUUGUUGCAUUCCCUCAGCAAAGUGGAUUGUUGGGGAAAGGACACCCCUGUGGCUCUUGGUGUUCUGCUCCUGCUCAAACCAUCAUCAGGAACAUUCUCACCUCCUGUCAGACUUCUCAGUCUCCUGACUUGUAUGGUCAGAGAAGACCCAUUCAGACAGACUAACACUGAGCCCUGCUGUCAUCCAGAAAUAAGGUUGCCCCUUCUUUCUGGAUGAGCUUACUGAAAGCUGCACGGUCUGCUCCUCCCUCCCUUCCUUCCCUCCCUCCUCCACAGACCGCUGGCCUCUUCCACUUUGCCUGAGCUCCUGUGCACUGUUGUUUGGGAACAGAGCAAUCACACACCUUGGUGUUUACUUCGUGCAUGUUUAAGAAUGACAGCUUCUGCCCAGAAGUACAGAAAGAAACAGUUCUGGUUCUGUAGUGCUUCUGGUUGUCGUGUUGUAAUGAGUGAAGAUCAGGAACAGGAGGAAAGAUAGAGAAAAGAAAGGGAAACAAGAGCUAUAGAGACAGCACACCCCGGCGGCUGGUUUAAACUUUCCUCCACCCUAAUGACUGAGCAGAACCAGAAACCUCACAACAUUUAUGGUUCGUUGUUCUUUCCUUAAAGCACUCUCCCAUUCUCUGCGAUUUUUGGAAUUACAAGCUGUGUGCUACUCAUCCCUUUCUCUUCAACUUUCCCCAAGUCCUUCAUGCCCCACUCUCCCAAGCUGAUCAGGGCUGUUAUUUCUGUGCAACUCUCUAUGAUCACUGCUGGUGACAGCAUCACUACCUUGCCCCCAUCCGGCUCUGACAUGACCUCAGCAGGAUGCCCUUUGCUCUCUGAUAGACCAGUGACCAGCUGCAAUAUUUGCAAAGUGGUGUCCACGUCCCUCUCAAUACCAGCAUGUUGCUGUCACGUGAACCUGGGGAAGAGGCUGCUCUAAGAACUUCUCAUCUAGAUGGUUUGGUUAUAAUAGCUGUAGUACAGGCUGUAGAUGGGACAUUGCUUUCACAAAGUAUGGAUCCAUUAGAAAUAGGCAUGCUAGCAGAUUCUCUUUCCAUUUUGCCUACAUUUUUAUUUUGUCUUAAAAAAACCCAUUCUGCAAUUCUAAAGCUGCAGUUCCUGCUAGAGAGGCUAGAUACAUUCCUGGGGAAGUUGUCCUUGUCUCAUCAGAGUUGCAUAGGGGGACACAAAAUCUCACCCUGACUUUUGUACAUUGCACUCGGUAAACUUGUGAUUGAAUGAAAUCAUGGCUUUUCAAAAGACGCCAGCUUAGGAGUUUUGGAUGAGUCCAUUUCCAACUGUGGGUAGAGCAUCCCCCCAUUCAGCAACAAAACUAAGCUUCUAGCUUUCUCUUUAAACAUGGAAAUCUACUGGCAAUGGGCAAGCUACUGCAAAGCAAACCCAUGGCUGCCGUUUCUGCUCCUGCUUGGGGUUCCCCUGGUGAGACAACUGGCUGCAAAUUCGAUUGGUGUCAUCACAGAAAGUGGUGGCUGUUUAACAGCUGCGAGCACCCAGCUGCCCUGGGCUGCAGCACACGUGGCCUUUCUGUGCUCCCACAGACCAGGGGCCCUGCUCUUCUCAGGGUCUCACCAGCAGGCGCACAUAUCCGCCUUCCUUCAGCCUCCCAAAGGGCCCCAUGGAGCUGGUCCGGCACAUCUCCUCACCAUGCCCUCUGCUCCGCACCGACACCAGCCCGUGCCAAGCAAGAUGCUUUAUGAGGGCUGGCCCAGAUGAAAGCACUGUGCUCAGAUGCGGCCGUCCCCACCGCCCUCCGCCCAGAGGUGGCAGCUGGUAGAUGCGCUGGGAAAUGCCAUCCACUGCCCUGUUUAUUCCAAACAAAGUCUCCUGCCCAGGGAUUCUUUCCCGAGGCAGAGUACUUCAUUCGUGGAAGCACUUCAGAAGGAAAGCAAGCAGUGCUGAAACUAAACCCUGCUCUAUAAUCACUGCCCGGGAGUCCAGCUAAAGCUGCUAUAGCACCCCUGCUUUAUUUUCCAGAGAAAAAGAGAUCCCUCCCAUGGCAAGAGACAGCCCUGCCAAUGUUUCCUUCUGAUACCUAGCACUGGCAGUAAUUUCAGCUGUGGCAAGAUUCAUCAAAGUUAAUCAUCUGACCCUCAUCUACAUGAGAUAAUUUUUCAGUGAGCAGAAUUUGCCAGUAGCCUCAGCUGGUGUUGCACAGUCCAACAUGAGCAAAUCACAUCCUGUUCCAGAUCUGGCUUUCCAAAUCCCCAGCAAGGAAAGAGAGCAGCGGGCGUCAGCUCCCUAGGAAGACCUAGAUUCAAUUCAGCGCUUGGUGUCGGGCCAUAAGGCUGCCUCAGGUAGCUCUUCAGAGAAAUCUGACAGUCCCCAAAACUUCACGAACACUUCUGGCCCGGAGCGGCUGGCGUCUUGCAAAACCUUCUGAUCUGACAAGUUUGCCAACAUCCUGAAUGGUGAGCAUCUCAUGAGGUAGGCGGUUCUUGGGAGGUUUCCAUGCAUCUUCUGUCGUCUCUGAAAACCUGUCUGAAAAAAAUCAGUCUCCUUCUGGCUUUGGAAUCAGCCCGACACGAAACCUAUGGAGGCAGGUUCAGUUGGAAAGGUCCCAUCUCAGCAGGGGUUUGAGCCAACCUUCUGAUUUGAUGUGAACAGUAUGUACGAGUGCCACUGAAUGACAUGUUUCCAUGAUAAAGAGUGUGGUGAUGAAAUUCUUCUGCUUGCCAAGGAUGGAAACAAAAAAGUCGGUGGGCAGCUGCAACACAUCACAAGAGAUAGAAAACAAAACCCUUCCCGAUUCCCAGAGCGCUUCUCAAGGUACUUGGAAACUUCCAAUCCCUGCCCCGUGGGAGGGCUCUGCACUCCCCAGGGUACACAUAAAAGCAGACGGGCACUGUCACUGGUUAGUAUUAAAGCUGAACACUCACAUAGAAGACGUUCAUACAGGGAGAUAUUAUUUGAAAGACAAAGACUGAUAAAUCAUUCUCUGGAGCUUUUCCUCUUAGCUUGGCUUCUUCCCAUUGAUCCAUAGGAAAUCGAUGCAAGUCGCAUUGUGAAAAUCCAUAACGCAAAAGUCCAUGCACUGAUGACUUUGAGCAAGUCAUGUUCUCAGCGUAACACACCAUUUGCUUUUCAUUUUCAUUAGCGCUAUUUUGGGUGUGAAGGAGGUUCACCAUGAUUUUUGUACAGGGGAUGACGGAGUCUGUCUAUGUCCCUGUGUUAGAGCAGCUCCCAGACCCACCAUGCAGAAAUGCAUCCCACUCGUGACACCCAUCCCUGAGGCUAUUGGAAGCUGCAAUAGCUCGGUAGCACUCAGGCUCUUAGGAACCAACAGCAGUUGGAUAAACAUGUGGUGUGCACCAGGCAUCCACUAGUCCAGCAGAGCUCUGAGAAGGUCGUCUUGAUCUCACUGACCUUGCACCCCAUAGCCGCCCAUCUCAAGAAGAGGGAUAAUGGCAUCACCAUGCUCUCAAGGUGCAAGCAGGCUGUUCUGCCUGCAGGCAGUGCUGUGGGGUGCUGUGUGCUUUAGACCUGCUGAAGUGAGCCUACAUGUCCCUGCUUCCUGCUCCUUUCCCUGAACUGUUAUUGCUGAGCAUGAUGGCAUACGGUAUGGCAUAUCUGUUUGGUCACUGUGGCCCAGCAGUCCUGGCUGUGUCCCCUCCCAGCUCCUUUCCCACCCUCAGCCUGCUGACUGGAAACCCUGCUGAGCAGGAACCCUCAAUGCAUUGCAAGCAUGCUCAGAAAUAGCCAAAAACACUGGUGUGUUAUCAGCACUGUUUUAAUCACAAAUCCAAAACACAGGCUGCAGGGAGGAAAAUUAACUCCAUCCCAGCCAGAUCCAGCAGCCCAUGAAGCUUUGGUUUCACAAAGCAGCACUGUCCCUGGGGCAUGGACAAAAGCUUCACAGGGCUCUAUCAGUGCAACAUACAGCAAUAGGACCAUCAAGACCACCUUCCCCCUGUACAUCUCCUGUUGCUCCAAAGGGACAGACAGCGCUGAGGCUGGAGGGAAGAGCAGGCGGCCAAGGGAGAGCAGAAGAGCUCCUUUCCAUUUUGAUUUCCUGAAGAACUCAAUUCCUCUCCCUGUGCCUUGUUUCCCCAGUGCCCAGAGCAGGAGCUUGUGUCACAGAGGCACUGCAGUGAUGUUGGAGAGAUGGGCUGUGUGAAAUCACUUGGUGCUCGCUCUGUUGAAGUGAUACUGUGCCCUCUCUUCUGCCCUUGUUUGUCUUCGAGCUGCCACUCCCACGAGGUGUAACCUCCACCUGAACGUGGACCAGUUUGUUUUAAGACUUGCAGAAGUUUCCCUGUAGAUCUGUGCCACAAGAUGCGAUGUGAACCUCAACAUAUGGUUCAGAUCUCCUUAUUUCGUGUAGAAUGGGACUUAAUUCCAUAAUCCUGAACUAAACAGAAAGAGAUACAAAAAGAGCUAGAGGGGACCACUGUCCUGCCAGUUUUCUGGGUUGAUAUUGCCCUCCACACAUCUCUGCACAAGCUUUCAGUAGUCAGCCUGUAUCACCCACCAAAACUCAUUCCCAAGUGUCCAGAUGGGCAUGGAGACAUGUUUUAGCUGAGCCACUUCCAGCUGGUGCUGUGGGCAGCCCUUGGCAGCCCUAGCCUUGCACUGCAGCCCCAGUGCUGGGUCUGUGCACACAGGGCCCUUUCCAGCUCCAGCAUCCUGCAAGAGCUCUAGAGCCAGCAGCGAGUGGCACGGGUGCCCUUGUGUUGGCAGGAGUGGGAGAUGAGCCCCCUGUGUCCAGCCAGCAGCCUGCAAUAGCACUUCGGGUCCUGCACUCACCAUGAAGGGCUGUUGGUGCCUAGGCAGGGAGGAGAGACCUCGCUGCCCUGUGUUCUCUGGCUAACUCUUCUUCAGCCUCAGACUUUUUGACCCCCACUUUCUCACUCUUCUUUUAUCCAUUGCUCAGUUAUAGUCAUUCAGCUUUGCUUUCUUCUUGAGUUUCAGAUAAUGAAUUGCUCAGAAUUCAGCAACUUUGGUUAUUCGCCGUGUCUCCUUGCCUUACUUUGCACCUGUAUGCUUAGGAAAUUUAUGUAAGAAGCUGUCAGCAACCCUUGUCUCUGUCCCCCUUAGCCCUGUGGGAGCUCACCUCCUGCUCUUGGAGGCUGCAGGAGAUGUCUCUCAAGCCUCUUGUCUUUCUCUUGCCACUCUCCUGCCACUUCAGAGCUGUGAACUCUCACAGCUGCUCUCACCCAAGGUGCCUCCCACUUUCUGUUUGCAAGGAUCCCACAUCAAAUGCAUACAGCCUAAAGUGAGCAGAUGUUUUUCCAGCCCAUCAGCUCAGUAGGAAACUGAGAUUCAGAUUUUUUUCCAUCACUUGUUCCGCUGGUACUAAAGGUUCUCUGGGAUACAAGCUGGCUUCACUGAAUGCCUGCUCAGCCCUUUUCCCUGCAGUAUUUCUAGAUCUAGUCGUGGUAUUUUCCUACAGAUGCUGCCUUAGGAUGCAGAUUUGAAAGUAAUAAUCUCAACAAUCAUAGAAAAUGUAUAUUUGUCUGAUUACAGGUCUUUCUAGUCUUUCUUCAGGUCACCUGGACACAUUUUCAACUGAAGGUGAAUGUUACUUGAGCAUAUAGUUUACUAAAAAGCCAGUGUUCUUCUUUAUAACUUAGCUUAAAUGGCUGGAAAGAACCAGAACUAUUUUUUAGAGAGUCGAGCCAUUUUUUCUGGGAUGAGACCAACACACAGUGGCUAUCACCAACUGGUCACGUAAGAAAAUGUAAAGGGCACCGGGAAGUUUUUCCUAAGAGUGUGACCGGAGGCAGACUCUUUAGCAGGGUCUGUUGCAAUAGGAAAUGGUUUCAAACUAGAAGAGAAGAGCUGUAGAUUGGAUAUAAGGAGGAAGUUUUUUACAAUAAUGGCGGUGAGGCACUGGC